rnacentral:rRNA from 1 species
GACGAACGCUGGCGGCGUGCUUAACACAUGCAAGUCGAACGGAAAGGCCCUGCUUGCAGGGUACUCGAGUGGCGAACGGGUGAGUAACACGUGGGUGAUCUGCCCUGCACUUCGGGAUAAGCCUGGGAAACUGGGUCUAAUACCGGAUAGGAGCCAUUUUUAGUGUGAUGGUUGGAAAGUUUUUUCGGUGUAGGAUGAGCUCGCGGCCUAUCAGCUUGUUUGUGGGGUAAUGGCCUACCAAGGCGGCGACGGGUAGCCGGCCUGAGAGGGUGGACGGCCACAUUGGGACUGAGAUACGGCCCAGACUCCUACGGGAGGCAGCAGUGGGGAAUAUUGCACAAUGGGCGCAAGCCUGAUGCAGCGACGCCGCGUGGGGGAUGACGGCCUUCGGGUUGUAAACUCCGUUCGCUAGGGACGAAGCUUUUUGUGACGGUACCUAGAUAAGAAGCACCGGCUAACUACGUG